UACGUAGGCAGCAAGCGUUGUUCGGAGUUACUGGGCGUAAAGGGUGCGUAGGCGGCUUUUUAAGUUUGGUGUGAAAUCUCCCGGCUCAACUGGGAGGGUGCGCCGAAUACUGAGAGGCUAGAGUGCGGGAGAGGAAAGUGGAAUUCCUGGUGUAGCGGUGAAAUGCGUAGAUAUCAGGAGGAACACCGGUGGGGUAAACGGCUUUCUGGACCGUAACUGACGCUGAGACACGAAAGCGUGGGUAGCAAACAGG
rnacentral:rRNA from 1 species